UCUUCAGGGGUCAAUCUCUGCCCAUUGGUUGGUUAGCAUUAGCCUGCGUAGCUCCAAUGCACAUGGCUUUCCCCACUAAAAACUAAUGGCGAACUCGGCAGGACGGCGCUCGGAGUCCGACCUCUUAAGGGAAGCUGCUAACGGACUGGAGGAAUUACAACGCUUCAAGUACAAGGUGAUGCUGCUGUUGGUGAUGGAGUUUUGCGAUAUUUUAUGACAACAAUAGCCAAACUCCAGUUUGGGUUCAGUCUAAAUUUAGGCAGAGAUUAAAGUGAAAGAACAGGCAAGACUCUGCUUUUUGAAGGUGAACCUGACCACCUUGUUCCAGCAGCAUGAGAGACAUUUGUUGAGAGCAACCGCACGGAGGACGUUAGUUCACUCCUUUUCACAAGAUGGACCACCAACCGCAGGAUUAAGUCGUGCAAUAAUUUGUGCUCUGCUCAAUGGAGACCCUGAAAUGGCAACCGUGUCAUCAAAAUGGUUUGCAACAAUUAAUGUGAAAAGGUUUUGUGGGGAAACUAAUAACUUAUACUAUGCUGAUUGUAGCUUGAACUUGAAGAACUCACUCGAGAACAGCAGGACACUGUCUGAGAGCUUUUACUGUCUUGGGAUCUCCCAGCAGUCACAAAAAUAAAUAAGAAAUGGCUCCAUAAGAAGUUUCUAGUCCAUGUGGUAAGCUCCUGGUGGUUACUGAAGUAACUGAAGAAAGACAUGCGGUCAAAGCUGCAUUAUCCUGAACUUUGACUGCUGCAUGCGCAGGAGCUUGUUGGAAAAAAUAAUCAGACAGCAAAUAUUAAAACAUACACAUACAUAAAUACAUAAAAAAUAAGUAAUUAGUAAAUAAAGUUGACAAUUAUAAUGGAUAAAAAAUAAAUAAGGUAAU